rnacentral:rRNA from 1 species
CUGUCUUUUUUUAAUUUUAAUUUGAACUUAAUUUUUAAGUUAAAAAGCUUAAAUUUUUUUAAAGGACGAGAAGACCCUAUAGAGUUUAAUAAUUUAUUAUUUUAUUAAUUUUAAUUUAUUAUUAUUAUAAUAAUAGAUUAUUUUAUUGGGGUGAUAGAAAAAUUAAAAAAACUUUUUUAUGUAUUUAACAAUAAUAUUUGAAUUUUAGAUCUUAAAUUUUAGAUUAAUAGAAUAAAUUACCUUAGGGA